AUGUACUGGGAGAAGAAAACAUGAAAAGUCGAACUUGAGUGGUAAGUAAGUAAGUUGAAAGUUUGAGCAUUUUUUUGUUGUUGUUUUUUUUUACCUUAGAGGACAAAGAGCCCCUCUCCAUCUUUUCGAAUCCAAGUGCAAGCACACAGUCGGAAAGACCUAAAUCCACCUGCAGAAAGGCACAUGAUGCCAGAAGACAAGACGUUGAGGAAAAUACUCUUGCUUAACUCACCUCCUUGGAUCAGCUGCCGUGCCAUGUAGAGGGCAGUGGAGCCGGUGGAGCAAUUAUUAUUGACGUUAAUGAUGGGGAUGCCGGUCAGGCCCAGGCUGUGGUAAAUGGCCCUCUGACCACACGUGGAGUCGCCUAAGACACAAACGCCAAGGAGAGGAAAAGGUGCAUCAGAUGAACAUUUUUGGUAUAAGGUCAAGAAAAGCGGCACCAUUGAUUCCUGAUGGCUACAAAUGAUAUGCGUUACCAUAGACAUAUCCCACACAGGCUUGCUGGAUUGCAGAGUAUGGGAUUCCGGCAUCCGCAAGAGCCUUUUCACCUGCAAAAAAAAUAAAUUUCACAUGUAUUCUGAUAUUCUUGUGAAUGGCUAGGCAAUGUCCAAAUUCUGUUUGGAUAAGCACCCGCUUCCUUGGCCAUGUCAGGGUAGUCAUAGUCGCCUCGGGCUCCGGGCUUGUCAAACUGUAGCAAAAACAUACGUACGUGAAAAACACAAGCAUGUUUGAUUCUAUGAUUUAAUUAUGGAACAGAAUUUUGGUGCGACAACCUAGCCUACCCACAAAUAUGAAUCAUUUAUUUCACCCCCCCUUCUUAUUUAUGUAGCACAUUUCAUCCACAGCCAAAGUGCAACACCUAAAAUCAUUUACAAACCGCUAAAGCCAAAUCAAAGAAAAUAAAAGUUGCGAACUUAGAAUUAUAAAAAUAUAUAUUGACACUGAUUAAAUGCAUUUACAAACAGACGUUUGAAAGCAAACUGAAGAAAUAAAAAGCAGAUUAAAGAAACUCAUUUAAUUGUUAAAUGUAGCAAAAAUUACAAAACAAUAAGAUAAGCUGUAAGAAUUCAACCACAGGUAAUUCAGCCAUAAAAAGAUUGAGUUCACGCAAGACAAUCUUUGACUGCGUUUCAAAGGGAGGGCAGGGGUCAAAUGACCCUUUACACACAUUUUGCAUUGACAUGAACUAUGGACUGAGACAGUUACAUAACUAUCGAAUAGCAACAUCUAUUAAGACGAAAACUAAACUCGCAAAAGUUCAAACAGCAAUGACCACAAAAUAAAUAUGGAUCGGUAAGGGC